rnacentral:lncRNA from 1 species
UUUGGUAGAAGAGAACUUUACUCCAUCUGUUCAAUUUUCAUGCUCCUCUCUUAAAAAUCGUUUCCUCUCCCAUCUCUUCAACAGAAGAGAAUUUUAUUCUGUUUCUUCAGUUUCCAUGCUCUUCUCCUAAAUUCCUCAAAAUCAACUUGAAAUCCCACUUCUUUUUUACCUAAAAUGUUCUACAAGCUCUCUUCCCCUUCCCUCUCCCCACUCCCCUCGGCGUGGUGGUUGGCGCAACCGAGAUCGAAACCGAGAAUGUGGUAGGGACCACGACUAAGAUCAAAAGCGCGAGAGAGCACCACCUGUGCCCCAGUACGCCUCAAUCCCGAACCUUAGCUACCUGAUGGCCCCAAACCCUAGCAUCCAGCCUCCAGGGGUGGCGGCAAUGCCUCCAGGGGUUGCGCCGAGUUGUGUCAGAGUUGCGGUGGUGCGCCCGGCGAGGAUGUAUUGCGCCCGAACAAUCGCCGGAGCACUGUGGGCAGGUUCCGAAUGGGUAUAUGGUGGUUUCUCCUCAGUCAGGAUUGAUCCUUCUCCUGUGGGUUUUCUUGAACUACUAUUUACUCUUUAUGAUCAAUUUCAUUCUUUGGCAUUUCUUUUGCUCGCUUAUAAUCUAUGAUGAUUUGGCUUUGAUUCAUGGAUUAUAAAAGUAAGAAUUUUAUAUUCAUGUUAGAUUUUAUUAAUUAAAUUUAGUGGCAGUAUAUUAUGUUAAAUAUUCUGUUGUUAGUAGAAAUAAUCGCAUUGGAGAUACGAGCUACAGUAAUAUUAUGUUAAGUGUUCUGAUAAGUUUUCUAUUGUUAUACUGUGUGUCGAGAUACGCAUACAUUGAUCAUGAAAGUAGAAGGGAUGGGUUGAUGGGUGAAAAAGAGUUUUUGAAACUAAAAAAUAAAUGAAAUAAAAUUAAAAAAAACAAUUGUUUGGAAAGGGAUUCUCUUGAUAUCGAUAAUUGGAAUUUUCUACUACAACUUUUUGUCGAUAACGUUGUUAUCGGUGAGAAACGUCAACAAUCGCAAUUAUUGCAGUUGUUAAAAAAUUACUUUCCCUCUAUGUUGAUAUACUUAAAUUUACCUAAUUGCAUUUCAUUUACACAAACGAUCAUCACCACGCCGCCUCGGUCGAGCUUGCAGACAGCGUUCCUAAAAAUCAUUAGACCAAUAACAGACAUCAUUAGAAAAAUUACAUAUUAAAGUUGCUCUCGCAUAUAACUAGAAUCUUAUAAAGCUUCAAAACUUUUUGUUGUGCUCCUACUAAUUUUUUUGUUUUUGAGAGAUAGGUAGCACGCUACCCGCUUCGUUUAUUUCAUUUAGAAAUAAACUUAGCUAGAAAUGUGAAUCAAUUAGGAUUCGAACUUGGGUCGAGGGUACCAACCACUAAGCCCUUUGCCACUAGCCCUUUGCCACUUGUUCUAAGGGACGGUCGGUUGCUCCUACUAAUGUUGCUUUUGCCAUAGCUCGGCUCGCUUUUGCCAUAGCUCGGCUCAACGGUUCAUUGACAUUUGCUGAAAAGAUAUUGCUUUUUUUUUUAUUAGUUAUAUUAUUUCAUCCUUAUCGCGUGUAAAUUUAAAUUUAAAAUUUACUUGAAUUUUAUGAUGAAUUUAAUUUAAGGUGGGUUUCUUUAUUUGGUGUUUUCAGGUUUUAAAGUUACAAAUUAAUGACAAAAGAGAGGCCGCAACCGACCCAAG